rnacentral:lncRNA from 1 species
CUAUUGCAAUAGUGCAAGACCGAAAAAUUAACAACUACACAUAAAAUGUGACGCCUCCAAAAUAGGUAUACAUCACCCAUCUUGAGUCGCCAGAUACAUGGUUCAUAAAUUCAAAUACAACUUAAUAAUACAACUGUCGUGUAAAAUAUGACAAAACAUAGCUGAGAGUUUAAAUAAGAAUAUUGCCUUCUAGACAAUAUCCACUCCCAAUAGAGUCCUCAUUACAAUUAUUAUCACACUAUUUAACAGAAUAGUGAGGACUACUAAUGCCACUUAUAUUGGAUCAUCAUUCCAUUCCCCGACUAGUCCCUGCUACGUUCUCAUUUCCUGAAGAGAACAGUGAAAGAAAGGGUGAGCUCAACUAGCCUAGUAAGAAAUAUUAUGAUUAAGAUAAUGCAGGAUAAAUUAUCAUUAGCCUUCAACAAUGUUAAACUGAUAAAAUACAAUAGACAUCAAGUUUAACUACAGCGGAAUAAACAAUCUAUUAAAAGAGUCAAGUAGAGAAUAAAGUCUACUAUCUUUUAUGAUUUAAAAAGUUUUUCAUCACUUUUAUCGCUGAGACUCAGCUUAAUAAAUAAUCCACAUCAUCCAUGCACUACAGCCAAGGAUAUUCAUUAGUAUCACGACCACAAAUUAUCCAUGCACUACGGGCCAAAGAUAUUCGUGUAUUCAUCAAUGGUCAUAAUCAUGCCAUAAAACAAUUCAUCUUUGCUCUCUUGGCCGAAGAGAAUUCAUAGCCAUAAUCAUACCAAAAACUGUCUAUCAAUGCACUACGGGCCAAUGAGGAUUUUUUUUCACAUCAUUUGUAAUAUUACGGUCAUGAUUUUACUGAAUAAUCCCUGGUCAUAAUCAUACCAAGUCCAUCUAUGCACUACAGGCCACAGAUGACUUUCAACAAAAUAUAAACAUGAGGAUGAUGACAAUGAUAUAAGAAUUCAAUAACACAAGUUCAAGAAUUAAUUUAUCCAAGAACUAAUAAUAUCCAAAUUAUCAACAUGAUACUUCUUUGUAAACUAAAAUUCAAGAAUGCUCAGAAGAAUAUUUCCAUGAAAAGAUACUGGAUGAAGCGCAAAUAUCAAGGAUAUUCCACUAAUUUCAUAGAGUAUAGAAAUCAAAACUUUAACCAACUGAGUAUAAUAAAGAAUGGAAUAACAACAGAAAUCACCAUGCAUGCGGUACUUCGCAUAGACAGGUUAUUCCAACAGAAUAAUAAAUAACGGAACCAGGUCAGGUGAAAUUCACACCGACAGGAUGUUCCAACAGAAUAAUAAUGGAAUAACAACAGAAAUCACCAUGCAUGAGGUACUUCGCAUAGACAAGUUAUUCCAACAGAAUAAUAAAUACGGAAUAAUAAAUAAUGGAACCAGGUCAGGUGAAAUUCACACCGACAAGAUAUUCCGACAGAAUAAUAAAUGCGGAAUAAUAAAUAUUCACCCUCAGUAGUUGAUAGCGCCACUGAGGUUUGCUUUUUACUAUGCCAUGACAUGAGACUUUAUCCCAAGAAAGUACAAGCACCACUCAUACUUUUUCUAUCGAUUUGACACCCUACAUAGUCAGCAUCUGAAUAACCUAUUAGUUCAAAGUGAUUACAAAUUGAAUAAAAUAACCCUAAAUUAAUUGUACCACUUAAAUAUUUUAAAAUUCUUUUAACAACAUUUAAAUGUAAUUCUUUGGGUUUAGCCUGAAAUCUUGCACAUAAACAAACACUAUACAUUAUAUCAGUUCUAGAGGCAGUUAAGUAUAACAAGCAUCCAAUCAUACCUUGAUAUUUUGUUAUAUCAACAUCAAUACCUUUGUCAUCAGUGGUGAGCUUUAUUUAUGUGCUUAUGGGUGUACCUUUUGAGUUAGAUCCUUCAAAGCUAAAUCUCUUGAGUAAUUCUUUUGUGUAUUUGGUUUGAUGGAUGUAAAUUCCUUCCUUCGUUUGCUUGAUUUGAAGUCCCAAAAAGUAGUUGAGUUCUCCUAUUAAGCUCAUAUCAAAUUCUUUAUGCAUGCACUUGGAAAACCACUCACAAAGAUGAUCAUUAGUAGCACCAAAAAUUAUAUCAUCUACAUAUAUUUGAACAGUAAUAAUAUCUAUAUUUAUAUGCUUAAUAAAUAAUGUAGAAUCUAUUUUACCUCUAAUAAAUCCGUUUGAUAAGAGAUACUUACUUAACCCUUCGUACCAAGCCCUUGGAGCUUGUUUCAAGCCAUAAAGUGCUUUCUUUAAUUUGUAAACAUGAUUAGGAUACUUUUUGUGCUCAAAACCAGGCGGGUGUUUUACAUACACCCCUUCAUUGAUGUAUCCGUUGAGGAAAGCGCUUUUUACGUCUAUUUGAUAAAGCUUAAACUUUUUGUAGCAUGCAAAAGCCAACAAAAUUUUGAUUGAUUCCAGCCUAGCAACUGGUGCAUAAGUUUCUUUAUAGUCGAUCCCCUCUUGUUGGUUAUAACCUUGAGCUACUAGCCUUACGUUGUUACGAGUGAUUGUUCCGUGCUCAUCAAGCUUGUUCUUGAAUACCCAUUUAGAACUAAUAAUGGAAGCAUCUUUUGGAGGAGGCAUAAGUUCCCAUACUUGGCAUCUUUCAAAAUUUUGAAGUUCUUCUUGCAUUACCAAUAACCAGUUUUCAUCAAGGACUGCAUCCUUUGCAUUUUUUGGCUCAACCUGUGACAAAAAUGCAGAGAAUGCAUAAUGAUUUUGUAAACCUCUUCAUGUGGUUACUCCUUUAUUUAUAUCUCCAAUAAUUUUCUCUGGAGGAAGAUUCUUGACAUAUCUAGCUAUUUUUGGCAUUUGGAUAUCAUUUAUAACUUCCUCUUGAUCAUGAGAUUCAUCUUCAGCAUCUUACAAAUGUUCAGGUUCACGUUUAUGUUGGUUAUCAAUUUCCGUUUCCUGAAACUGUUCAUUCGGUCUCCUAUUUUGUUCUUUUUGGUUUGUUGAAUUCUUGACUAUCUCCAAAUUUCCUGCAUCAUCUUCAGUUUCUUUUGGAAGAUCAUUGUUAGUUUCAUUGAAAGUGAUAUGAACAUACUCUUCUACACAUAAUUUUCUAAUAUUGAAAAUAUGAUAAGCCCUACUAUUUUGAGAAUAACCAAUGAAUAUUCCUCCAUAUGACUUAGCAUCAAAUUUUCCCAAAUUAUCACUUGUAUUUAAGAUGAAACAUUUAGAACCAAAUACUUUGAAAUAACUUAUAUUUGGAAUUUUAUUAUUUAGAAGCUCAUAAGGUGUUUUCAAAAUAAUAGGACGAAUGAGUACUCUAUUUAAAACAUAACAUGAUGUACUUACUGCUUCAACCCAAAAUUUCUUUGGAAGCUUACUUUUUUGCAGUAGAGUUCUUGCCGUCUCUUGUAGAGUCCUAUUCUUCCUUUCCACCACCUCGUUUUGUUGACGAGACCUUGAGUCUAAAAAUUCAUGGCUAAUACCCCUUUGAUCACAAAAAAUUAUAAAAUCUUUUUUAAAUUCAGUACCAUGAUCACUUCUAAUUCUAAUGAGUUUGUAGCUAUACUUAGUUUCAAGAUUCCUUAUUAAUUUUUCAAACUCUUUAAAUGCUUCAUCCUUAGUUCUCAAAAAUAAUACCCAUGUGUAUCUUAAAAAGUCAUCAACUAUUAUAAAUGUAUAAAAUUUACCAUUAAUACUUGAAUGUCUUUCCAGUCCAAAUAAAUCAAGAUGAAGUAGUUGUAAAGGAGAAGAGGUUGAUACCAUAUUCUUUGUCGUAAAAGAAGUUCUUACUUGUUUUCACAGUUGACAAGGAAUACAUAUUCCUUUCUUUUCAAACCUGAUUCUUGGAAACCAUUUAACGAGAUUCUUUGACGAUAGUUUCUUGAUUAAGUCCAUGUGAACAUGUCCCAUCCUUUUAUGCCAUAGAUAAGCUUCAUCUUGUACUAAAGUAAGAUAUAUUUCUUCAUCAUGUUACUUAAAAUCAAGUGUAUAUAUAUUUCCUUCUCUUUGUGCAACUAGAGUAGUAUUGUUAGUACCAUGAAAUAUUAUGCAUUUAUCUUUUUUAAAGUUAACUUGAUGGCCAUUAUCCAUUAAUUGACUAAUACUAAUUAAAUUGAAUUCAAGACCAUUAACGAGGUGCACAUUAUUUAUACUUACCUUGCCAUUACUAAUUUUACCUUUUCCAAUUAUCUCGUAAGUUUUAUUGUCUCCAAACGUGACCGUUCCAUUCUUCUUUUUGAUAUUUAGUUCUACGAAUUUUGAUUUAUCACCUGUCAUGUUUCGAGAACAUCUGCUAUCAAGAAUCCAUUUUUGAGAUGGAAUUCUUGCCUUUAAACAUACCUAUCAAGAAAGAAUAAUUUAUCCUUUUGGUACCCAUAUCUUUUUGGGUCCACUUAUGUUAGUAGCAUGUAAAUCAUUCUUUUUAAGCCAUACCUUUUUAACCUUAUUUCGUUUCUUAAAAAAAUUUAUAUCUAAAUGACCUUUAAUACCAUAAUGUUUACAAGUUGUGAAAGGAGAGCAAUAAUUUAAACUAAACCAUGACUUUGAUUUUAGCAUUUUCAUAUUACUCUUUUUAUGCAUAUAAUCAUAACCAAUUCCUUGUCUUUCAAAACUAGGUCUUUGUUUACCUAAUAUGACAUUUAAAUUUUCUUCACCUUGGACAAAUUUAGCAAGAGAUAAUUUUAAUGAAGCUAUUUCUUUUUGAAGUUCAUUAUUAGGAGAGGUUUUAACAGGAGAUUUAACACUGAAUGCAUCAAUAUACACAUCUCUCAUUUUUAGCUCAUUAGUCAAUUUUUGGACUUCAUUAUUCAAGAAAUUUACCUUAUUGAAAAGUAUUUUGUUAUAAUUGUCUAAAUAAUCAAUCUUAGCAAUUAAAACCUUUUCUUCUUUACAUGUAGAUUCCUUUUCAAUUUCUUUCUUUUCAUCUAUUAGUGAAUAUACUUCACUCAUUAAAGUAUUAACUAAACCUCUUAAGCACGCAUUCUUUUCUUUUAACUUCUUAUUUUCUUGUUCUAAUGAGUUCAGUUCAUUAAGAGAUACCUGAUUAGAUUCACCUUCAAUUCCCACAAAACAUACUUGUGUUAUUUCAUCUUUAGCAUCGAUCUCCACAUCGGAUUCCUCAUCACUCCAACUCACAAGGGCUUUGUUCUUCUUGUGAUCUUUGUAGUUUGUCUUCCCUUUGUUCUUUAAUUGAAAGAAAUCUUUCUUGAAGUGACCAAGACGUCCACAUUCGAAGUACGUCUCUUCAGUUUGCUUUCCUUUGAGUUUAUUCAAAUUGAAAGUAUUUCUUCUCUUAUUCUUCCUUUGUAGUAGCCCCUUGAGUCUUCUUGAUAUCAUGGCUAUUUCUUCAUCUGAGUCAUCAUCAAGCUCCUCUUCAUUAUCUGUAGUAAGAGCUAAGACCUUUCAUCGAGGAGUUUCCUCCUCAUCAUCAUAUCUCUUUAACUGAUGUUCAUAUUCUUCUAAUUCACCAAAUAAAGUUAAAGUAUCCAUGGAAGAAAUAGUGGCAGAAUCUUGAAGAGUGGUGAUUUUAGAAGCAAACCUUUUGGGCAUAGCUAUUAAAUUCAGGCUACUAUAUUGAUGAAUUCAGCUUACUGAAUAAUUAGGACCUACUAAAUUGACUGAUUAUUUUUAAGAAAAUAUCCUUCAAAAUUUAUAACUUAGAUAAAAUACUUUGUGUUUAAAGAAUUAUGCAAAUAUCCAAAUCUUAAUUAUUAAGGCAAAUAAAUUAUUUAUGUGAAUAAAUAAAGUAAAACAAAUAAUAAAAUUAACACCAAAAUUUUUUACGUGGUUCAGCUAUUACCCUUUAUAAUAAUAGCCUAGUCCACGUCCAAUAUCAACUAGUAUUAGAGGCUCAAUUUAUUUAUUUCUUUAUAAAUAAACACUGAUUACAAAACAGAUUCUUACAAAAAUUAAUAACAAUUAAUUUCUUCUUGAGCACACUUGCUCUUUGUGCAUCUAUGCACUCUUCAAGCACCUUUGCCUCUACCUAUUGUGGGAUAAUGUUAGCAGCCUUCAUACCCUCGUCAGGCCCAAAGACACAGCCACAAUAGACAAAGAAUGUACAGGAUAUAAAUGGAAACCAUAGUUGGUCAGAUCAUUAUGGUCUCUAUUUGAUAGUUUUUCCUUUUCUUCUGAGGAGGCCUAUGUUUGGUGUCUUGCUAUAUUAUACCACCUUCCUCCACCAAAACAUGGCUCAAGCACAAUAUUAAGUUAUUAACACAUAUUAAGAAUGUCAAAUUAGAGGUGAGAGUGUAAAAUAAGUUCCAACUUUACCCUUAUAUGGCUGUACUACAAUAUUAGUGGGUCUCAUAUAGUUAUGACACAAAUACAAGAUACUAUAGUCUUUUUUUCCACUUUAUAACUCCGACUUUAGUACAGGAGUAUUUCUUUCACUGUGGGGGACGAAGCAGGAAAGGGUGGCAAUAAUUAGUUUGAAAAUGGGACUAGAGAUGAAUUGCCUAGGCAUUAAGAAAAGUUAGUUUAAAGAUGAGAAUAGAGGUGAGAUAAGUAAGCAAGAAAAGUAUAAGAGUAGGACUUGUGUCCCAUAUGAUUGGAUUUACAAUAUUUCUUUGGUAUUCGAACCCAAGGUACAGUUUUAUCCUCUAGUUAUCUGAAAAAAAGACGGAGAAAGUUCUCUACAACAAGAUACUCUCCCCAGUUGCCUCUAAGGCCACCUCAUCAUAACCAACAUCACACAAAACAGGAAGAGAUGUAGAUACCCCCAAUAUAACCAGCUAUUGUGCAACAGCACAAAAAAUAAUCAGUUAUUACCUCAAAGAAUUUUUGUACACAACCAGCUAUGAAGCAUAUGAACAAUCUGUGACUGCAAGGCUGCAACCAAACCAUCCUCUCUAAUUCCUAGCCCAUAGAUGUCAAUCCCAAACCAAGUAACCAACCCUAAGCUGCAUGUGCAAAAAUUAUAUUCUUUCUGACCUUCCUGCCACCGCAACUGAACACCUCAAGAGUAAAUGUCAACUCAGACCCAACUACUCUUUUAACACCCUCCAUCCUAAAUUAUCCACAUCCGACUUCACACCUGGUCCAUAGAGCUUAAUACUAAUAAUAGAACUCCAAAAUAACAUACAUAGAAAGACCAGACUAGACUAUGACUACCCAGGGAACAUAACAUAAUCGCAAAAUUUAGGCCAUCAGAUUAUUUGCGAACUCAGAAAAGGUCUUAUAGUUGGUGCCAAGAAUCAAAUCCUAAUAUGAGCAUGAUGACUAUGCUAUAAAAGGUUAUAAAUUCUUGAAGAAGUCAGUCAUGUUCUCCUUGAAUCUCUCCACAAAUUUACACUAUGAGAAUCCCUCUGACCUCCUCAGGAGUUUCAUUUUCCUAAUACAUCCAUAAUUACCAAGCUAUUACAAACUUCAUCAGCUGUCCUUUUCUAGUACUUACUUCUACUCUAAUUUAUCAAAUAGCCAUAAAGUUUCAGUUCUUUCCCUUUUUUUCCUCUUUGCCAGAAUCAAGUAGAGGUUAAUACAUUUAUUGAUAAGGUGGUUUAGUAUAUUACUUAUGUAGUAAAGUAAUUCAAACAAUACCUUUGGAACAUAACAUUGACCUAGCAGCCACAUCAAAAAUGUAUCAAGUCUGCAUCUUAUUUUCUCUUUAUUUUUAUUUUUUUUGAUAAGAAUGUGUUAAGUGAAUGCUACCACAACCAAGACUAUAAGAUACAUCACAGUGUUGAUUCUUGAUGCAUAUAUUAUCAAUAUCAAAACUAUUAAACCACAACAAAAUCAGCCAACUACCAAAUUGUGAUAAUAAGAGGGAAAAGGGAAAAUCAACUAUCAAAAACUGCACUAACAAGCAAAUUCAAUUCAAAGAUCAAAUUUUUUGAAUACCCAUAACCUGAAAUCAAGCAAAUAAUAAGACCCAGAUCAAAAACUUGAUUAAAAUCCAUAAAGCAUACAAUACUUCUAAACUUACACCCACACAUCUCAACAAUACAAAUGCUUUUAUAGGUACAACCGAAAGAACAAAAAUUGCAAAAUAUGAGAGAUUAAAGUAUAAAUACCUGCUGGAGGAGACUAGAUAGAAGGCCAAAGAGCUGGGCAUCUGGUUGUGGGGUUGCUACAUCUUCUUCCGCCAUUUGAAUUUUUGAUUCUUGUGUUUGUAUGUGAUUGUGUUUAUAUAUAUAUGAAUUUGGUCUGCAGUUUCUCUAUCCUCUGCUCUGUUCUGUCAAUUUGCUAAUUGCAAUUAGACAGCAACGAUUUAACUAUUUCGGGAUUGAUUUACAGGUUGGGUAGUUCAAUUCCGGACGAAAACCGGGUGAACGGGUGUCAUGUUAGUUGAGAAUUUUUGGGGAAUUUAUUUGCUUCGUCUUUUUUUUUCUUUUUCCCCCUUUAUUUUAGUAAAUAAUAAAUUUCUAGAAUAUAUGUUAUUAAUUUUCCUUUUUUGUCUUUUUUUCCCUUACAGUGGUAGAGGUCAUUAUUUCCA